UUGCCUCUGAUGAAAUCGGUUAACAAAUACCAUCUUUCGGGACUGAUUGGCUUUUUAAGCCAUGUUGACAUUUCCGCAAUUCUGAGGCAUUGUUUUAACGUUAUAUUAUUGAUUUGAACCUGUGAUGAAAUCAGAUAACAAACACACCAUCUUUCGGGACUGAAUGGCUUAAUGCCUUGUUGACAAUAUCUGCAAUUCUGAGGUUC
rnacentral:lncRNA from 1 species